rnacentral:snRNA from 1 species
GGAUGUGAGGGCGAUCUGGCUGCGACAUCUGUCACCCCAUUGAUCGCCAGGGUUGAUUCGGCUGAUCUGGCUGGCUAGGCGGGUGUCCCCUUCCUCCCUCACCGCUCCAUGUGCGUCCCUCCCGAAGCUGCGCGCUCGGUCGAAGAGGACAACCAUCCCCGAUAGAGGAGGACCGUUCUUCGGUCAAGGGUAUACGAGUAGCUGCGCUCCCCUGCUAGAACCUCCAAACAAGCUCUCUAAUAGGUAAGAUACAGCAAUACAGGCCUACCUCAAAAAUCAAGGAAAAUCUCAAAUAAAUAAUGUG